GCGGAGUCACGCGGGGCACGUACGCUGUCCGCAGCCUCCCGCUAGCGCCGGCGCGGGGAGACUCGCCGGGCUGGGGCUCCCGGCGCGGGGCGAGGAGUGGCCAGGGGUGGCCCCCGGGCCAGGGCUGCCUGAGACCAGCCUUUCCUCGGGCUAAUUCCUUCCUUCCUUCCAUUCCCUGUGUCUGCUUCGCACGCACCCCGCCCCGUGGUCUCUGGGUACCGUGUGCUCAACUUCCAGGUCCAGUUUGUUCACCUUACAAAUAAAAUGUUUUCUACUUCCGAGUGCUGCAAUCUCCACCUGGGAUCUGAGAGUCAAGCUGGAUUUUGCCUGUUGCUUGCAUCACUGCUGCUAAUAAAUAUUCAGCAAUCACAACUCUCCACUAAAAGAUUCUGUUGAUGGUGUAUAUGAGAGAGAGAAUCCAGCGGCCUAUCCCAAAGCUGUGUUGGCUCUGCAGGGAUAACACAAAUACAAUCUUAUUUGAUUCAGUAAGAAUGUAUUGCACCCCUCCUGCCAGGAAGCCCUGAAAUUCACAAGAUUUGAAGACAACAGACAGCACAGAAAGUGUUUGGCCAUUCCUGGAUUUUACUAAGGGCUGGUGCAGUGAUUGAGAAAAGGGGUGACAUGCUGGAAAUGAUUGACCCAAUGAAGAUGGGCCUAAAGCAAACCCUCAGAUCUGAACACAGUGAAUUUUGCGUGAAGGUUUGGUUAACCUUAGAUGGCUGGGCCAUAGCUCUAUAAUGGAAUGAACCAAAACCUGAAUACAAACUCUGUGGAAGUUUGGAUCUGGUGCCAAAUCAAACUCGUGGUCCAUCUAGUCCAGUACCCUGUAUCUGGCCAGUUCCAGGGGAUUCAGAAGAAGAUGCAAGAAAUCCUAUAAUGGACAAGUUUCAAAGACCAUGUUUUUUGUGAAAGUUUCUGCAUAAAAGUUCUGCAGUCAGUGCUUAUUCUCUGAGGCCUGUGGCUUUGAGUAUUUUUUAGUCUUUGAUAAUUUUUGAAUCCUGUCUGUUGUAACUGUGAGUGUUUUUAUUAUUUAAAUUAAAUGUCUAAUCCAU